UACGUAGGGUGCAAGCGUUGUCCGGAAUUAUUGGGCGUAAAGAGUUCGUAGGCGGUCUGUUGCGUCGGCUGUGAAAACCCGGAGCUCAACUCCGGGCCUGCAGUCGAUACGGGCAGACUGGAGUUCGGCAGGGGAGACUGGAAUUCCUGGUGUAGCGGUGAAAUGCGCAGAUAUCAGGAGGAACACCGGUGGCGAAGGCGGGUCUCUGGGCCGAUACUGACGCUGAGGAGCGAAAGCGUGGGGAGCGAACAGG
rnacentral:rRNA from 1 species